UACGGGGGGAGCAAGCGUUGUUCGGAUUUACUAGGCGUAAAGGGCGCGUAGGCGGCCACCGCAAGUCGACUGUGAAAUCUCCGGGCUUAACCCGGAAAGGUCAGCCGAUACUGCGGGGCUAGAGUGCAGAAGGGGCAACUGGAAUUCUCGGUGUAGCGGUGAAAUGCGUAGAUAUCGAGAGGAACACCUGCGGCGAAGGCGGGUUGCUGGGCUGACACUGACGCUGAUGCGCGAAAGCUAGGGGGGCGAACGGG
rnacentral:rRNA from 1 species